UCCUACGGGAGGCAGCAGUGGGGAAUCCUGGACAAUGGGCGCAAGCCUGAUCCAGCCAUGCCGCGUGAGUGAUGAAGGCCUUAGGGUUGUAAAGCUCUUUUAUCGGGGAAGAUAAUGACGGUACCCGUAGAAUAAGCCCCGGCUAACUUCGUGCCAGCAGCCGCGGUAAUACGAAGGGGGCUAGCGUUGUUCGGAAUCACUGGGCGUAAAGGGCGCGUAGGCGGAUCUUUAAGUCAGGGGUGAAAUCCCGGGGCUCAACUUCGGAACUGCCUUUGAUACUGAGGAUCUAGAGUUCGGGAGAGGUAAGUGGAAUUCCGAGUGUAGCGGUGAAAUUCGUAGAUAUUCGCAAGAACACCAGUGGCGAAGGCGGCUUCCUGGCCCGAUACUGACGCUGAGGCGCGAAAGCGUGGGGAGCAAACAGGAUUAAAUACCCUGGUAG
rnacentral:rRNA from 1 species